rnacentral:rRNA from 1 species
UACGUAGGUGGCAAGCGUUACUCGGAAUCACUAGGCGUAAAGCGCAGGUAGGCGGUUGGAUAAGUUUCUUGUGAAAGCUCCUGGCUUAACUGGGAGAGGUCAAGGAAUACUGUCUGACUUGAGUGUGGUAGGGGUAACUGGAAUUCCCGGUGUAGCGGUGAAAUGCGUAGAUAUCGGGAGGAAUACCUAUGGCGAAGGCGAUCAUCUGGGGUUGUUCUGACGCUGAGGAGCGAAAGCUAGGGGAGCAAACGGG